rnacentral:rRNA from 2 species
UACGUAGGGAGCAAGCGUUGUCCGGAAUCAUUGGGCGUAAAGCGCGCGUAGGUGGCCAUGUAAGUCCGCUGUGAAAGUCAAAGGCUCAACCUUUGAAAGCCGGUGGAUACUGCAUGGCUAGAGUACGGAAGAGGCGAGUGGAAUUCCUGGUGUAGCGGUGGAAUGCGCAGAUAUCAGGAGGAACACCAAUAGCGAAGGCAGCUCGCUGGGACGUUACUGACACUGAGGCGCGAAAGCGUGGGGAGCGAACAGG